rnacentral:piRNA from 1 species
UAAUGUUGCCCAAAAACAGUUGUGUUUA